rnacentral:rRNA from 1 species
AAAAACAUGUCUUUCUGUUUAAAAUUUAAAGUCUAACCUGCCCACUGAAUUAAUUGAAGGGCCGCGGUAUUUUGACUGUGCAAAGGUAGCAUAAUCAUUUGUCUCUUAAUUGGAGGCUGGAAUGAAUGGUUGAAUGAAAUAUUAACUGUCUCAUUUUUAAAAGUAUAAAAAUUUAGCUUUUAAGUUAAAAGGCUUAAAUAAAUUUAGAGGACGAGAAGACCCUAUAGAUCUUUAUAAUUAAUAAAAUUUUAUAUAAUAGAAAAUUAUAUAAUAAUAUUAUAUUAAUUAUUUUAUUGGGGUGAUAGGAAAAUUUAAAAAACUUUUUUUAAUUAUAAACAUUUAUUUAUGAAUAAUUGAUCCAUUUUUAGUGAUUAAAAGAUUAAGUUACCUUAGGGAUAACAGCGUAAUUUUUUUAGAGAGUUCUUAUCGAUAAAAAAGAUUGCGACCUCGAUGUUGAAUUAAAAGUUAUUUCUAGAUGUAGUAGUUUAGAGUUUAGGUCUGUUCGACCUUUGAAUUUUUACAUGAUCU